rnacentral:rRNA from 1 species
AUUGAACGCUGGCGGCAUGCCUUACACAUGCAAGUCGAACGGUAACGCGGGGCAACCUGGCGACGAGUGGCGAACGGGUGAGUAAUAUAUCGGAACGUGCCCAGUAGUGGGGGAUAGCCCGGCGAAAGCCGGAUUAAUACCGCAUGAGACCUGAGGGUGAAAGCGGGGGAUCGCAAGACCUCGCGCUAUUGGAGCGGCCGAUAUCAGAUUAGGUAGUUGGUGGGGUAAAGGCCUACCAAGCCGACGAUCUGUAGCUGGUCUGAGAGGACGACCAGCCACACUGGGACUGAGACACGGCCCAGACUCCUACGGGAGGCAGCAGUGGGGAAUUUUGGACAAUGGGCGCAAGCCUGAUCCAGCCAUGCCGCGUGCGGGAAGAAGGCCUCGGUGUAAACGCUUUGUCUAGGAGAAGACUUACUGGCGUAAUA